GUGUGAUACAAUUCCUGCAGAGUCUCUCGCUGGUAAGUAUUUUAAUUAUGUUUGCUGAAUCGACAUUUAAUGCACGAAAAAUAAAAAAUAUAAUAAUCAGAAGCUGAACUUGGAAUACCAUAAUUCCUGUACACUCACUUGUAUUUUUUAGUCUUGUUGAGACAGAGUGUUCUGCAAGAGCCCCUUUCAAUUCACAGUGUUCAUCAUCC